AGUUAACCAACAGGACACAGCCCUGGUGAUGGCUUUCUGAGGAUGACACGAUGGAGGCUUCUCCAAUAGCUCUAAAAUUGUUGUGUGGAAAACAUUUGGCAGCCUCAAAGAGCGGUCUUGUUGACCCCAACUAUAUCAUUUUUCAUCAAAGUCAUUCUUGUAAAGAAUGACCAGGCAACACUCUUUGAAAAUUGGAGACCAUUUGCAGCUGCUCUCUGUUGAGGAAAGUGAAUAAUAGGGUGCCCUCAAGGAAUUGCAAAGGUAUCACUCAACAGAAACUUUUGUGUCUGAAGAAAACUAGAUCAUUUUAUCAUGGUAGGCAUGCUGAUAUGUUUGCUUUAAUAAAAUGCCAUAUUUCUGCCUUUAAUCUCUUGUCAACCCGCUAUUAAAAAGCCCUAAAGUGCAUGCGUGCAGCACAUGUAAACACUUGCGGUUUUGAGGUUACCACAGAACAUACUAAUAAAGCAUGUAAUUUGUGUUUUGUGCACA
rnacentral:lncRNA from 1 species